AUACGUAGGGAGCGAGCGUUGUCCGGAAUUACUGGGUGUAAAGGGAGCGUAGGCGGGAUGGCAAGUCAGAUGUGAAAACUAUGGGCUCAACCCAUAGACUGCAUUUGAAACUGUUGUUCUUGAGUGAAGUAGAGGAAAGAGGAAUUCCUGGAGUAGCGGUGAAAUGCGUAGAUAUCAGGAGGAACAUAGGUGGCGAAGGCGGCUUACUGGGCUUUUACUGACGCUGAGGCUCGAAAGCGUGGGGAGCAAACAGGAUUAGAUGCCCUGGAAGUCCACGCUGUAAACGAUGAUUACUAGGUGUGGGGGGACUGACCCCUUCCGUGCCGCAGUUAACACAAUAAGUAAUCCACCUGGGGAGUACGGCCGCAAGGUUGAAACUCAAAUGAAUUGACGGGG
rnacentral:rRNA from 1 species